UGUGUCUCCUUCACCUCUUUCCUUCAUUGGACUGUGGCCUAUUCAGAUCAGUGAAAGAAGAGACAGGAAAAUGCCAGCAUUCAUUACAGCACAGCUUCCAGUUCUCAGGUUUAUCAGUGAUGCAGUGCACUGCCACCUGAAAGAGCUGCAUUAAUACAGCUGGGAUUUCACUUCACCUGGGCAACAAUGACAUUCACAGAAGAGAUGUCCCAUCUGCUGCAGUAAGAAUGCCAUCUGUCCUUUCAGCGUUUGCACUCCAUACAGCAAAACAAGUUUUGAAGGGAAAAGAUAUCCACUGGAUCGUCCAGGAGCCCAGCCAGGGCAGAGAUGACUCCCCUUCGUAUCAGCCCUUCCCUAGAAACAGCAAUGGAGGACACAUUUAACACAACAUAAUAAAACUUGUAUGUAUUUGAGAUAUUUAAUCCUCAGAUGACUCCCCUUCGUAUCAGCCCUUCCCUAGAAACAACAAUGGAGGACACAUUUAACACAACAUAAUAAAACUUGUAUGUAUUUGAGAUAUUUAAUCCUCAGAUGACUCCCCUUCAUAUGAGCCCUUCCCUAGAAACAACAAUGGAGGGCACAUUUAACACAACAUAAUAAAACUUGUAUGUAUUUGAGAUAUUUAAUCUUAACUGCUCCUCUUUAUGCUGCAUCUGUCUGACAAAACUUAGGUGCUGUUCUUAUUUCUCACUGCAACAUCGCUUCCCACAGGGUUCAGAAAACUUUGGAAUUGCACCCACCUGCCAAUACUGUGCAAAGCCAUUACAGAGAGAACUUCUGUUGUUUUCUGCCGGACAGUUCGGUCUUCAUGCACCAGCAAAGCCUUCAGGCUGUCCAAGAAUCCUACGAGACAUCAGAAUUCAUUUUAACAUUUCUUACUUCCAGCAUUAUUUUGAAAAUAGCAAUAUUCAGCGUUUAUCUCACAACUUGAAGUGCCUCAGAAAUUCCAGCUUGUCCUGACAGUGAAAUUCUCAUUGUCAUAUCUCAAGUAAGGAAGAAACUUUCAAAUUUCAAGGCCUACUGCCAAAAAUGUCACGCUACAAACAAGCUCCUGACUCCUUAUCAAGUUAAAUCCUAAUCCUGCAAAUAUAAAGUGACAUAACUCUAAAAAUAAGACAGUAGAGCUAUUGAUGUCUUUAGAAAAGCAUGUUUUUGCAGGAUUGACACUCACUUGUCUUUUUUGAACAGAAAUAAAUGUGGUGAACCAUUAAUGAUUGUGUAUGCACAUAUGGCACUCACCAGAGCCAAAAAACCUAACAACCCCAAACUAACAAAAAUCUCACAUUGCUUUGGCAAUCAACUGUUCAUCAAACACUAACUUAAUAAAUUUUGAACAUGACUAGUCUCUUUUAUGAGAAGAAAAAAAGGUAAAGGAAGUAAAUGGAGAAAAUGCAGUAGCAAACAAGUAUUUUUUCCUGUGUUACAUAAUGAGCUACGUAGAUAUACCACAGACUGCUAAAAUUGCAAAAAUAAACUUGUA